rnacentral:rRNA from 1 species
UACGAAGGGUGCAAGCGUUAAUCGGAAUUACUGGGCGUAAAGCGUGCGUAGGCGGUUAUUUAAGUCUGCUGUGAAAUCCCCGGGCUCAACCUGGGAAUGGCAGUGGAUACUGGAUAGCUAGAGUGUGAUAGAGGAUGGUGGAAUUCCCGGUGUAGCGGUGAAAUGCGUAGAGAUCGGGAGGAACAUCAGUGGCGAAGGCGGCCAUCUGGAUCAACACUGACGCUGAGGCACGAAAGCGUGGGGAGCAAACAGGG